CACAGAGCAACACUGACUCCUGUUGUAAUGUCCUUGUGACAUAUAUGUUCACUCCUGUGCAUCCACAUUUUCAGGAACUUGGUCGGAAACUGUACUGCUAUAAGACUGAAGAAACGUUAAGAAGAUUAUGUGGCUAUUCCAUGCCAAUUGUUUUAGUGCCAAUGUUGUUUUAAACCAGAGGAAUGCUGGCACAUCUCUUUGAAGGCCAGGUGAACCAAAACAGGAUCUGUGGAGAAGGCUGAUGAGGAUGAUGGGCUUGAGUGCGAUUGUGAACAUGGGCCAAACAGAUCUGACCUGAAAUCAGCAGACAAUAUUGUUUCAUUCUCACGCACCGGUGAAGGAUCGGGCUGCUAAGGACAAGAAAAUACCCUGCAUGAAUAUACAGCCUGUAA